ACUAAUGAAAACUCACCUAAAAAUACAUUAAAACAGAAGAAAAACUUACAAAAAAGGAACUUCAAUCAAAAAUUAUUCAACUCACUUGGAAAAAUCUCAUGAAAUCAAGAUGCAAUUUGCACGGAUGCCAUCCAAAAACUUCAUAAUCGAAGAAAUCAAACCUAAUGUGGAGUUUCUUGAGUACGAAUCCAUUGAACCAGAUGAAAAUUGUACCUUUAACAGUUAUUGUUGCCGAAAAUAUUUCGAUAAUUUCUCCUCGUUACUCGUUCACAUGAUCGAUUUUCACUUGGACAGUCUCGUGAAAAGUCUUGGAGAGCAAAGAGACGUUAUCUUAAGCUGCAUUGGCCAAUAUGAGGUACUUGAGGAAAUGGAAACGAGGCCAGUUCUUGUCGCAAGUCACGUUGAAGAGGAAUUAGAAGACGAGGCUUUCAAAGAAGAGCAUCUCGAAGAGGACUGGAUUGAAGAAAGUUUUGUGGAAAAUCUCGAAGAAACCACAGAAAAAGUUGAAAAAUCUCAAAACGAAGUGACGAAAGAUGAAAUUUUGGUAGAAAAUGCUUCACUCCCGGAUGACUCGAGUACCGUAAAAAGAGCUAGAAAACGCCUUCCUGUCUCGCAAGUCUUUCCGAAACCCCGAAAACGGAAGAGACUCCCUCCAGAUCCGCGUUUCAAAUGUUCUACGUGCCUUAAAUGCUUCGAAGGAUCCUACCAACUGCAGAAACACGAGAAAAAACACGAAGCUCCCUUCAUCUGCGACUAUUGCAGCAAGAAAUUCUGCAACCGAAACACGUUAAAAUCGCAUUUAUUUCAACACAAAGCCUCACAAGUGUCAAAUUCCGAGCUAAUUUGCUCGUAUUGCGAAAUGAUUUUCGAAAACUUGCAACAAGUUGAUGCUCAUCGCGUCGAAUAUCACACCCGAACUGACGAAAUUCACAUUUGCGAAGUUUGCUCAAAGGAAUUUUCCAUCAAAUACGAUCUCAUUUACCACAUGCGACGCAUGCACAAAGACACGAAUCGGAUCAGUUGCAAAUUUUGCUACAAAAAAAUGACAGACGAAGCCGCCUUGGAAGCUCACAUGCAAGAACACGAGUUGAAAGAAGCCGUCGUUUGUCCGCAUUGCGGCAAAUCUUUCAAGGGGAAAAAAGUUUUGCGACAUCACAUCUCGUACUACCACAAAUCCAGCGGAUAUCCAGCUGCCAAUCAAAACCGCAGCUUGCAUUGUUCGAUUUGCGGCAAAGCCUUUACUUAUGCCAACCAAGUGCGAAAUCACGAAAUUAACACGCAUGGCGUCGGCGAAGCUGCUUUUUACUGCACGACAUGCGGAAAGGGCUUCGCUAAGCAAUGGGAUCUCACAAAUCACGAGCUGAUGCAUUCGGAAAAUCGGCCUUUUGCCUGCACACAAUGUCCCAAAUCGUUCCGCAGAGCAAAUCACCUGAAAAAUCACGUUUUUAACAUUCAUACGCCAGUGUCGGAGAAGCCGGAUCUUAGUUGCUUUAAUUGUCAGAAGAGUUUCAAGAAUAAAGAGUCACUCAGGAAACACGUACUGAAGUCGCAUAACAUGACGAUGAACGAAAUGUACAAAUUAGCGGGACUGCCGUACAAGGGACGUGAUAUUUUGUCGGCCAAAGUAAAGAAGUUGGAGAGAGAUACGGGGAUGGAUAUCAAAUUUCAGGAUCAGACGAUAGAAAUUGAGAUUAUUGGACAGGAAUAUGACCCGUAGCUUAAAUUUUUGUGCAAAGAGAAUUAAGAAAUUUUGAUUUUUGAAGAAGUUUUGAAGAAUUUAAAGUUCAAAAAAAUAUAUUUACUAACAGAAUAAUAAUUUUUUGAUAUUUUUCGUAAAUACUUUUGUAUAUCAAAUUUGAAAAUUGGAAGAUAAGAAUUUUUUUCUUUGCCAAAAAACUUAAAUUAAUUAAAAUUAGGCCAUUAAGGCCGCUCCAAAUGGAAAACAAAAAUAAAGUCCGAUGCCCCAUUUUAAAAGUC